AGCAGCCGCGGUAAUUCCAGCUCCAAUAGCGUAUAUUAAAGUUGUUGCAGUUAAAAAGCUCGUAGUUGAAUUUCGGGAUCGACGGGUCGGUCGCGCCUCUGGUGUGUACUGGCCCUGUCGGUUUCUCCCUUCUGACGAACCACGAUGUCAUUAAUUUGGUGUCGUGGGAAAUCAGGACUGUUACUUUGAAAAAAUUAGAGUGUUUAAAGCAGGCAUCCGCUUGAAUACAUUAGCAUGGAAUAAUGAAAUAGGACGUUUGAUCUUAUUUUGUUGGUUUCUAAGAUCGACGUAAUGAUUAAUAGGGAUAGUUGGGGGCAUUAGUAUUCAAUUGUCAGAGGUGAAAUUCUUGGAUUUAUUGAAGACUAACUACUGCGAAAGCAUUUGCCAAGGAUGUUUUCAUUAAUCAAGAACGAAAGUUAGGGGAUCGAAGACGAUCAGAUACCGUCGUAGUCUUAACCAUAAACUAUGCCGACUAGGGAUCGGAUGAUGUUAAUUUUUA
rnacentral:rRNA from 1 species